GAUGAAGAACGCAGCGAAAUGCGAUACGUAAUGUGAAUUGCAGAAUUCAGUGAAUCAUCGAGUCUUUGAACGCACAUUGCGCCCCCUGGUAUUCCGGGGGGCAUGCCUGUCCGAGCGUCAUUGCUGCCCUCAAGCACGGCUUGUGUGUUGGGCCUCCGUCCUCCUCCCUGGGGACGGGCCCGAAAGGCAGCGGCGGCACCGCGUCCGGUCCUCGAGCGUAUGGGGCUUCGUCACCCGCUCUUGUAGGCCCGGCCGGCGCUUGCCGACACAUCAAUCUUUUUUCCAGGUUGACCUCGGAUCAGGUAGGGAUACCCGCUGAACUUAAGCAUAUCAAUAAGCCGGAGGA
rnacentral:misc_RNA from 1 species